rnacentral:rRNA from 1 species
GACGAACGCUGGCGGCGUGCCUAAUACAUGCAAGUUGAGCGAUGAAGAUUGGUGCUUGCACCAAUUUGAAGAGCAGCGAACGGGUGAGUAACGCGUGGGGAAUCUGCCUUUGAGCGGGGGACAACAUUUGGAAACGAAUGCUAAUACCGCAUAACAACUUUAAACAUAAGUUUUAAGUUUGAAAGAUGCAAUUGCAUCACUCAAAGAUGAUCCCGCGUUGUAUUAGCUAGUUGGUGAGGUAAAGGCUCACCAAGGCGAUGAUACAUAGCCGACCUGAGAGGGUGGUCGGCCACAUUUGGACUGAGACACGGCCCAAACUCCUACGGGAGGCAGCAGUAGGGAAUUCUCGGCAAUGGACGAAAGUCUGACCGAGCAACGCCGCGUGAGUGAAGAAGGUUUUCGGAUCGUAAAACUCUGUUGGUAGAGAAGAACGUUGGUGAGAGUGGAAAGCUCAUCAAGUGACGGUAACUACCCAGAAAGGGACGGCUAACUACGUG